CCUGUUCGAGCGUCAUUAUAACCACUCAAGCCUCGGCUUGGUCUUGGGGUUCGCGGUCUCGCGGCUCUUAAAAUCAGUGGCGGUGCUGUCUGGCUCUAAGCGCAGUAAUUCUCUCGCUACAGGUCCCGGCGGUCACCUGCCAGAACCCCCCAUUUUUUACGGUUGACCUCGGAUCAGGCAGGGAUACACGCUGAACUUAA
rnacentral:misc_RNA from 1 species